CUUUUCACCAGAAUAAGCUUUUUAAACUGGAUUCUGAUCAUUUCUGUCAUUUCAGGUGACACACAUAAUUCAUCACCUCCUUCAUUCGCUGAUUUACCACAUCCUCCUGUGAGCUCCCUGAGAGCAGGUUCUGUGAUAACUUCUAAAAUAGUACGGAGCAGGAGUAAGAGAGCUGUGGAAGAAAAACAUCGUCAAACCGGAAUUCCUUGACACCACCGGCUGAAGCAGUGUGGCAACGAGAAUGACUAGAAAGUUAGCAAGGUAUUUUAUUUUUAAACUUUUGAUGAGCAUCAGAAAGAAAUCAACUUGGACAAUGAAAGUUUCUUUUUUCUUUGCCUAAUUUUUACUUGGAAAUAUUUAGAUACUAUUGGCCAGAUGUUGGGGAGAACUGUCUAUAAAAAAUCAGGUCAUGUCUGUUUGCCUUUUUUAUGCUGGAUAAGUGAAAACUUAGAAAAUUGAAAGCAAUUAUCUUUCAGACGCAUUGGUUGUUUUUUGAAUAUUCUAUUAAGUGACAGUUCAUUUGCUGGGGGGUAGGGCCUGACAGGAUUCGAUGUAAUGUAGUAUAGCAUAUAAAUUAUUUAAUCAUAAUCAGAAACCAGGAAAUUAGAUUUGCAACUUUCGGUGUAGAAAAGGCAGUGGCACCACUCAAGUCACAGGCACGGGGCUUUGGUUAUCUGAACCCACAUCUGACUCCUUCAGGUGUGGUUUCCCAUUAAACCUAAAGGGGCAGUCAGGAGUCCUGGCCAUGCAGAAAUGAAUCCAUGGCAAAAGCCAGAAAUUCUUAGGAUAAAAAUUUAAUUUAAUUUUAGUUUUAAAAUUCACAAAAUCAGAAAUUUGAAACAGGUUUCUCCACUGCAG
rnacentral:lncRNA from 13 species